GACGAACGCUGGCGGCGUGCCUAAUACAUGCAAGUCGAGCGCUGAGGGCUGGUACUUCUACUAACUGGAUGAGCAGCGAACGGGUGAGUAACGCGUGGGGAAUCUGUCUUUUAGCGCGGGACAACAUUUGGAAACGAAUGCUAAUACCGCAUAAAAACUUGAAACACAAGUCUUAAGCUUGAAAGAUGCAAUUGCAUCACUCAAAGAUGAUCGCGCGUUGUACUAGCUAGCUGGUGGGGUGAAGGCUAACCAAGGCGAAGGUAGAUAGCCGACCUGAGAGGGUGGAGGGCCGACUUGGGACUGGGAAACGGCCCAAACUCCUGCGGGAGGCGGCAGUAAGGAAUGUUCAGCAAUGGACGAAAGUCGGAACGAGCAAGGCCGCGUGAGUGGAGGAGGUUUUCGGAUUGUAAGACGCUGUUGGUAGUGGAGAGCGAGGAUGAGACUGGGAUGGUCGUGUAGUGACGGUAGCUACAGAAGAAGCAACGGCUAACUACGUG
rnacentral:rRNA from 1 species